CGCUGUUGGGUUCGUCGCACCUUCAGAUACCUCACGCAGUCAGCACCGUCCCGCCGUCAACUCCGUUGCGCCCUCAGCCACUUCGCAUGUCACCUCCGUCGAGCUCUAUCUCUGAGAAAGCAAUAGAGAAGCGUUGAAGCGUAGAAAAAAUUAAAGCCUGAAGUCCUUCGAGCUCUGAGAGAAAGCAAUAGAUUUCCUCAUUUCCAGUCUAAGCAAAAGGGCAGAAGCGUGACAGAGACAGAAGCCAGAUGACGAACACGACUCAAAAACUGUGGUGGGUUGGAAGAAGUUGUGGCUAAUCAAACAAAGGGUAGUCUCCAAGAUGCCGAGCUCGAGGAAGAAGCUGCGAUUGGUGGGCUGGAAACUUCGAGCACCAUGGCUAGAUGGUGGUGCCUGAGCGCGACAAACGGCGGCAAGAGCGCGAUAGAGUAGACAAAGACCAGGGACUGACUCCAAGCUCAAGGAAGAAGGUGUGAUUGUUGAUUGACGAAGAAUAGCGAACGAUCAAACGAUGACGACGGCGCCUGAGCGCGACAGACAGCGACAGUCCUUGUGGAGGUGGUGGAGAUGGUAGGUUUUAAGGGUUUCAACUUUGAGCUUUCUUUUUGCUUUGGUGAAUUUUGAACUAAAGAGAAGGAAACAGUUACACGUGAUUCUAAUGCUUUGUUUUUUUAAAAUUCAAAAUGAUGUUGUUUCUUGUAAA